ensembl:snoRNA SNORD97 small nucleolar RNA, C/D box 97
UUGCCCAAUGAUUAUAGCAAGACGCGUUAUUAUGAGGACUUAAUGCUGGAAUUCUUCACCUCUUUUUUUUUUUUCCUAUACUUUUCUUUUUCUCUUUUUCUUUCUUUGGAUGUCCAGCGUCCUGUGAACAAGAUUAUGAGAUAUGAGGGCAA